rnacentral:lncRNA from 10 species
AGGAGGCCUCAGGAAACUACAAUCAAGGUGGAAGGUGAAGGGAAAACAAGGACCUUCUUCAUGAGGCUGCAGAAGAGAGACAGCAGAGAGCAAAGGGGGAAGAGCCGUUUAUUAAACCAUCAGACCUCAUGAGAACUCAUUCACUAUCACGAGAACAGCAUGGGGGUAACAGCCACCAUGAUCCAAUCACCUCCCUCCAGGUCCAUCCCUUGACACCUGGGGAUUACAGUGUGAGAUGAGAAGCAUGCUCUUGGCCAUCUAGAAGGAACGUGGAUGAAACUGGAAGCUAUCAUCCUUAGUGAACUAAUACAGAUACGGAAAAUCAAAUAUCCCAUGUUCUUACUUAAUAUUGGGAGCUAAAUGAUAAGAACUCAUGAACAUAAAAAAGGAAAUAACAGACACUGGGGUCUACUUGAGGGUGGAUGGAGGCUGGAAGGAGCAAGAAGAGCAGAAAAGAUUGAGUACUGGGCUUAAUACCUGGGUGAUGUAAUAAUAUAUACCCUAAUGACAUGUUAACCCAAGCUUAUAUAUGUAGCAAACCUUCACAUGUAUCCCCAAAACUAAAAUAAAAAUUAAAAAAAGAAAACAAGAAAAUUAUAUGGAAGAGAAAAUAUAUUUACCAUUCAUUAAGUGGCAGUGAAUCCUUAUAAAGAUCUUCAUUGUCUUCAUGUUAA